UGAAGGGCGUGCUAAUCUGCGAUAAGCGCCGGUAAGGUGAUAUGAACCGUUAUAACCGGCGAUACCCGAAUGGGGAAACCCAGUGUGACUCGUCACACUAUCAUUAACUGAAUCCAUAGGUUAAUGAGGCGAACCGGGGGAACUGAAACAUCUAAGUACCCCGAGGAAAAGAAAUCAACCGAGAUUCCCCCAGUAGCGGCGAGCGAACGGGGAGGAGCCCAGAGCCUGAAUCAGCAUGUGUGUUAGUGGAAGCGUCUGGAAAGGCGCGCGAUACAGGGUGACAGCCCCGUACACAAAAGCGCAUGUGCUGUGAGCUCGAUGAGUAGGGCGGGACACGUGGUAUCCUGUCUGAAUAUGGGGGGACCAUCCUCCAAGGCUAAAUACUCCUGACUGACCGAUAGUGAACCAGUACCGUGAGGGAAAGGCGAAAAGAACCCCGGCGAGGGGAGUGAAAAAGAACCUGAAACCGU
rnacentral:rRNA from 2 species